CAUCCUGCCCUGUCUUCAUGGGUGUCAUCAUCCUCAGGUGGUCUCUGCUGGCGUGGGUAGGCCUCGGGUGAUUGUUGGCACCGGUGGACAGUAUUAUAUCUUUUCCUCCAGACUUUGUUGCAAGUCCUGUCGGAGAAACUGGUUUGCAGACAGUCCCCGGUGGCUGCAAAAGCUGCCCAGCCACUUCACAAACAUUCUGCCUGCAUUCCUGACAUAUAAGAAGGCCAUCUGCAAGUCUGUAAUGGAUGAGCUGAGGCGCACGGGCAAAUCACCAUCAGACAUGGCAAACCAGGUGAAUGAACUCAUGCAUCUCAAAUAUGAGCGAGCUCACCUGGCAUACCUGCAGGCAAUCGAGAGCGUUUGGGAUGCUGAGGCAGGGGUUCAUGGACAGAAGACCAUUGGGCAGUUUGUGAGAAAGGACAAUGCACCACGUCCUUUUGGCUCAUAUGAAGAUGUCAGUGGGUGGUGUGGAAUUUCUGUUUCCAGCUUCUACCUCACUGACUGUCUGCUGGAAGAGUACAGACGCCAAGAGCCAGUCAUGUCCAGGCUCCUUCAAGGAUCUUUUGGGCAGAUCUUCAGGUCUGACCACACCAGAAAAGUUGCACGCAAAGUGACACUUGCAUCAGGGACAAUGUCUAGCUUUGCAAUCAUGAACGAAAACUGGUUGAUUUGAUUGUUUCCUGGGUGAUGGUUCAGUCUGAGGCUGAGAGGUCCUUGCAGCCGAUGUACGAGGGAGUGGCCAGGAGGUACGCUGAAGCUGAAGUGGAGAAGGCAGGCUACCACUGGGUGGACAGGGAUUGCUGUGCUUCUUUCAAGAUCCCAGACUCCAUCCCUGGUGAACAUUUACUCUGGGAUGCUUGGAAGACAACCCCUGCCAUUGUGAAUGCUGCUACCUCUGGACCCCUGGCUAAUACUAGUGCCUCUCGAUCCCAUUACAACCCCAACAUUGCCAUAAAACUGGACUUGUUUCACUGCCUCAGGCGCUUUUCACGGGAGUGCACGUCUGAGCAUCACCCCCUCUACAGCAGUUUCUGCCAGCUUCUCUCUGCUGCCUUCUCUGUGGUGGAUCAGGAGGACCUCAAGAAGCUCCGGGACGCCUACGAAUUCUGUGGUAUCCGGCCAGCCAAUCCCACCAAACAACACAUACGGGAGCACUGCAGGACCAAGAUACCACAGCCCACACAGCUCCUGGACAGAGUGGAAAAGGUGAUCAACCAUUUUCAUCUGGCCAAGGAUCCAAAUGAUGUCCCUCUGUUUAAACCCUCCAUGCUGAAGACGUGGCGCAUACAGCGAGUGCAUAUUCUCCGUGGAUGCCUCAGUGACCCUGAAAUCUCCGAGAGGAUCAUGUACAGGUAUGGUGGCACUCUUCAGCUUAACCAUGUACCUGGAGAAGGAGCAAAGGUCAACAUCUGGAUUCCUGUCAGAGGUACAUCACAACAAGAGGGGUACCAUUUCCACCAGGCCCAGUGGAUCACUGGAACCCAUGCCUCCACUGAACUGUUUCAGGCGCAGGCAAUGACAGGAGUGGCAAGAUGGAACUACCAACGACUGGUGGACCUUAAGCGACCAGACAUUGUCCUGCCAGCUGUAUUUGAUCCCGCUUUAAUAGCUGAAUUAAACAGCUCUUACAAGAGAGUGACUGGACAGGAGAAAUAUCCCACUCUCAGAGUCUCUGACAGGGACACCGGCGAAAGAUUUGGACUUGAGUACAUAGAGCCAGGCUGCCGACCGGUCCCUCUUGACUGGGACAAACACAGGACUCAGAAGAGAGGUGAAUCAUCUGCUCCAUUCCUGCUUCCUGUGCAUUCAUCCAUCUCGGCUCAAGUUCCAACUCCAGCGUCAACCUCCAACUUGGGUUCAGCUCCAUCUGUCAGCCCUCUACUCUCUGCUGGUGACCUCCUGAAAGAAGAUGUCCAGGAAUUUCUAGCCACACCAGAUCUUUCGUGUGCUCCACCUCUGCCUCUGAGAGCCUACCCAAGUAGCGCCCACGUCGGACCCAUAAAAACAGGUGGACGGGUCUUUGUGUUGGAUCACACAUGCUGGACACUGCCCAUGAAAGAGGCCAUUGAUGACCUGCUGCAGAAGCACCGUGGGGACAAGGAGAUGCUGAAGCUUGUGGAUCAGGAAUACGCAGCCAUUGUUCAUCGAGCUGCUGCUGAUCCAAACAGCCUUCUGCAUCCUACCACCAGACUGCACAUCUCCCGCUACGUGAAGCACCUGGUGAAACUGCUCAACACCAGUUCUUCUUUGAACAUAAGCCCAGAGAAACUGAGGGAUACACAACAACUGUGGCACUCUUUAACAGAGGGGAGUGAGUCAUCCCAUGUUCCUGUGGUCACUAUUGAGCCAGCUACUUUCAACCCUCCUGCACCUGCUUUGUCCUCACCUCUGACUCAACACUCUCUGGAAAAAAAUCGUAGAGGGCAUUUUGAGCAAACAGCAGCAGCAGCUCCCGCCAGGGCAAAAGAAAAGACAGAAAAAGACCUGUCUUUCCUGCGGACAGCCAAAGUCUCGAUAUGAAACUGAUGGAUCCUCGAUCCACUUUUUCUAUCAACAGGGGCCUGUGCGGUAUUUUUACUGCUCACAAAAGGUGCACCAGAGCUAUGCUGCUGAAGGACUCUCUAACCCUAAAAUGUCCUUUGAAGAUUUUUCAGCCACUGACUUUUUUCAGAGAGAACUGGACGCAACCAAGACGCGAGUGCAGGAGAAGACCGAAAAGAAAAGGCAAAGGACAGAAUUGGCACCAGCAGGCCGUCUCUGUAGGUUCUGUCACAUGGAGCUGAAACAGGGACCCAACAGCCCACACAUCCACACAGGAUUCCCCGGAGUGGCAGGAAAAUAUAUUUACUGUCCCUCCAAGGUGUUCGCUCUUUACCAAAGCCAGGGAAUGGUCAAAGAGAUGAGCUGGAAGGAGUUUAGCAAGUCUCCUUUCUACGAGGCGGAAAAACAAAGAUGGGUGGAGGAAAAGAACAAAUGAACAACUUGGGUUUAUUUAGUUCAUUAGUGUAUUUAUGUAAAUAGAAAAUGUUGUAAAUCCUCAGAGGAUUGUUUCAUUGUUUUUUUUAUCCUCUCUAGGUUACUGAUCAGAUGUAAAUUUGCAAGUGUAAGUUUAACAUCUGUACUUAUGUUUAUUUUGGUUUGUCACAGGAACAUUGGGACUAGUUUGUUUCUUUCUUUGUAUAUAAUGUAUAUUGUGUUUCUGUUAAAAUACCGUCUGGUUCAUGUUAAAUAAAAAAAAACAAAUUGUUCUAUCAUUAAUUGCACCAAAAUGUUAUUUAAAUUGUUGCUUACAGCAGCUACUUGUACAUAUCAACAUCUGCUGGCUCAGUUUGUCUGGAGCAACACAUAAACAAACCUUGCACUUUACUGUUGAAGUUUUGGAUUUAAUGACGAUGACCCUCAAUUUCACCGUAAGAGCUUGUGCCUCUAUCAAGGGGGCUGCUAAUAGCAAAAUCCAUGUUAGAUCUCCGUCAAAGCUGCUUUGGCCGUUUUAUCGCUGUUAAGCUAGCUUGCAUUAACUGUUAGAACAGGAAAUAGACCCUUCAAAAUAAAAGCAUUUCAUUCGAACCGGAAGUUAAUAAAACGGAUUAUAAAUAAAGGCAAGUUGUGCCAAAUUAAAAUACAAGCAAAAGAAGAUGUCAUUUUGGGGUUAGUUACAAUAACAAUAAGAAUUAUCAGUUUCAACGUUGAAUAUCACUCUGUUCGCUGUGGGUAAGAUGUCCUGUCAUGGAAAACCUCUGCUGUUAGAAAUAUUCAUGUUGUAUUUUGUGCUGAUUUUCCCUCUGGGAAAUCAAUUUCCCUCUGGGAUUAAUAAAGUAUUUUUGAAUUGAAUUGAACUGAAUUUGAAUUAAGUUAACCAGAGUGUUUGCAUUUAUUUUAGCAAUGGAGGAAAAAAAGUCUUCAUGUUCCACCAGUAGGCAACCCCUAAACAUUUACCAGAACUUUCUUGGACGGGGCACCUAUGGCUGUGUGUACAAACGUUUUGACCAAGCAGCAAACUGCUUUCGUGCCAUCAAGAAAUUCACGAGUGAGAAGGCAUUUAAAAAGGAGGUGAGGACAUGAUCUUUGUGUUUCAUAAACAUUUACAGUCAAACUGCAACUCAUGUCAACCUUUUUGUGCCUUUUUAGUUAAAAAUGCUGACAUAUCUAAUGGAGAACAAUCUGCAUGAGCAGAACAUCAUCAGGCUUUUUCAUUCAGACCUGAAACAUUUGAGUCUGGCAUUGGAGCUGUGCAGCAUCAGUCUCGCAGAUUAUAUCAAACAACUUGAAACACCAAUGCCUCUACAGGACAUCAGAAUAGUCAUCCAGCAAGUAUGGCACCUUCAGAGGAAACAAGAUUCCACACAUUAACAGAUUUUUAAUUUCCAGAUUUUCUAUUUUUGACCAUUGUUUGCAGCUGGCGACUGCCUUUGAUGCAUUGAAGAAGGUUGGAGUUAUCCACACUGAUGUGAAAACGAACAACAUCAUGUUGGUGGAUCAAAUGAUAAAGCCUCUGCAGGUCAAGCUGAUUGACUUUGGCUUGUCUGUCUUCACAAAGGAUGCCAAGUUCAUCAGAGUCAAUCAGGUUCUUCGUUACAAGUAAGAUUUAUGUUAACUCUGAUGGUUUUGUUUUUUAAGCAAACACAUACAAAGCACGGCCCCCACUUGCAUUUCUAGAUCGAUUUGUUUAUUUUUGCUGUUGAUGAUUGAUCAAACAUUUAAAUCUCAGGGUUUUCCCCAUUUGCAUGUUUUAGACAUACCCCUGACCCAAUUACCAUAGUUAGUAUUUAAUCUAAUUUAAUAAAAAUAGAAUACUUGAGCCCCGUGAAGACCAUUAAGGGUGAUUGUUACGUCCCUUCCUGAACGUCUAGGAGGAUGAGGGGACUAACACAGAAAAAUAGGUGGACGUGUGUGUGUGUGUGUGUGUGUGUGUGUGUGUGUGUGUGUGUGUGUGUGUGUGUGUGUGUGUGUGUGUGUGUGUGUGUGUGUGUG
ensembl:lncRNA